AUUUGCUGAAGAUGAAAAGGCCAUGCGAGAGAAACAGAGUGCUCGGGAGAGAGAGUCGUGCGAUACUCAUCGAGAGAAGGAGGCUGAGGCGACGGCAGCUCUGGGGUGGCUGGAAGUGACCGGCGACGCUACUGGGUUCUCUGGACAGUGGUGCGACGCACGAGAGAGAGAGAGUUAGAGAGUUAGACCGAAACUGGAAUUUAUGGGGAGAGAGGAGGGAUCCCGUCGGGGACUUACCGGAAAGGAGUGGAUUCGACGGGGUUGGGAUGCUCGGAGAUUUCUGUGGCCGAGGAGAGGUGGUCCGACUUCCUUGAGGUGGCUGGCGACGGCAGCACAAAUACACGGCCAAAAGCCACUACCGAUAAAGAUGGAGAGAGAAAACGACGGGGAAGAGAAGGGGUUUACCGUCGGCGUGUUCUGGGCAGCGUGGUGGUGCUCCGAUGUCCUCUGUGGAGGAUUCCGGCGGGGAAUUCAACGAUCUCUGUGGCUGAGAAUCACAAAAAAGAAAAGUACAAGAUAGAUCUUAUGGCUCCUCCUCCUGCCUUGAGAUCAUCGCCAAAAAGAGAUGGUGAUGUUGAAUAUGUGACCGUAGAUUUUAUGGGUAGAUUUUCAUAUAUUAGCUUGUAAUGAGUUAUGGGUAGAUUUUUAUAUAUUAGCAUUGUGUUUUGAUUGUAUGUGCAAGAAAUUAAGCUUGCAGUGAAGGAAGAUGAAAAUGAAGUUAAAAUAGGCAAGGUAGAGGCAGUGAAUGUUGAAAACGAGAGAACAAAAAUUGUGGCAGUUGAAGAAACCGUAUCUCAGAAACUGGUUCUUGUGCACAGGGAGAGAAAAUGCAGGGCUCAAUUGUGGAGUCUCUGAUCGAGUGUAUGCAAAUGCAAAAUAAA